UACCAGCACCCCGAGUGGUCGGGACGUUUAUUGGGCCUAAAGCAUCCGUAGCCGGUUCUACGAGUCUUCCGUUAAAUCCAACUGCUUAACAGGUGGGCUGCGGAAGAUACUAUAGAGCUAGGAGGCGGGAGAGGCAAGCGGUACUCGAUGGGUAGGGGUAAAAUCCGUUGAUCCAUUGAAGACCACCAGUGGCGAAGGCGGCUUGCCAGAACGCGCUCGACGGUGAGGCACGAAAGCGUGGGGAGCAAACAGG
rnacentral:rRNA from 1 species